rnacentral:rRNA from 1 species
UACGUAGGGUGCAAGCGUUGUCCGGAAUUAUUGGGCGUAAAGAGCUCGUAGGCGGUCUGUCGCGUCUGCUGUGAAAACUCGGGGCUUAACCCCGGGCCUGCAGUGGGUACGGGCAGACUAGAGUGCGGUAGGGGAGACUGGAAUUCCUGGUGUAGCGGUGAAAUGCGCAGAUAUCAGGAGGAACACCGGUGGCGAAGGCGGGUCUCUGGGCCUGCACUGACGCUGAGGAGCGAAAGCAUGGGGAGCGAACAGG